rnacentral:rRNA from 1 species
GAUGAACGCUGGCGGCGUGCCUAAUACAUGCAAGUCGAGCGAACGGACGAGAAGCUUGCUUUUCUGAUGUUAGCGGCGGACGGGUGAGUAACACGUGGAUAACCUACCUAUAAGACUGGGAUAACUUCGGGAAACCGGAGCUAAUACCGGAUAAUAUUUUGAACCGCAUGGUUCAAAAGUGAAAGACGGUCUUGCUGUCACUUAUAGAUGGAUCCGCGCUGCAUUAGCUAGUUGGUAAGGUAACGGCUUACCAAGGCAACGAUGCAUAGCCGACCUGAGAGGGUGAUCGGCCACACGGGAACGGAGACACGGUCCAGACUCCUACGGGAGGCAGCAGUAGGGAAUCCUCCGCAAUGGGCGAAAGCCUGACGGAGCAACGCCGCGUGAGUGAUGAAGGUCUUCGGAUCGUAAAACUCUGUUAUUAGGGAAGAACAUAUGUGUAAGUAACUGUGCACAUCUUGACGGUACCUAAUCAGAAAGCCACGGCUAACUACGUG